rnacentral:rRNA from 1 species
AAUGAACGUUGGCGGCGUGGAUUAGGCAUGCAAGUCGAGCGACAAGGUCACACUGAAGCCUUCGGGUGGACGUGUGACUGGAGGAGCGGCAAACGGGGUAGUAAUGCGUCGGAACGCACCCAAAGGACCGGGAUAGCCGGGAGAAAUCCCGUGUAAUACCGGAUAAUCUCUUCGGAGCAAAUGGCCAGCCGCCUUUGGACCGGCCGACGUGAUACCAGCUUGUUGGUGAGGUAACGGCUUACCAAGGCUAAGACGUCUAGGGGGUGUGAGAGCAUGGCCCCACACUGGGACUGAGACACUGCCCAGACACCUACGGGUGGCUGCAGUCGAGAAUCUUCGGCAAUGGGCGAAAGCCUGACCGAGCGACGCCGCGUGCGGGAUGAAGGCCCUUGGGUUGUAAACCGCUGUCAGGGGGAA